UUAGUAAUCAACAUAUUUAUCAUUGAAGAGUUACAAAUUCUUUCUGAUGGACAUGUCUUAAACACUAGGCUGCUUGUGCAUUGGCUAAUUUAGCUGCUGACAGAGAUAGCAACGGUAAUAACGCUGUUGUCAGACAAGAAGCAGGCAAGAAGCUGCUGGUUCAUUUUGGAAUUUGUCAUUUGUCAUUUGACGAAAGAAAUCGAGAGGCCAUUGCAGCAGCUGGCGGAGUUCAGGCUUUGCUCAAGAUGAGAUGAUUAUAUGGAGUCUUAAACCUUUUCGCUUCAUAAAGAAAGACUUCUAAAAUAAGGUUGUAGAAAGUUUGACUAACGUCAACGAAGUUGACACAAGAAUGGAGCUACUAGACAUCAUAUUUUUGCAAAAAUUUUGAGGAAUUGACUUCGUCAAAGGAAGUGCAGGUUUGUUUUCUACUUUGUAGAAUUUAUAUAAAUUAUAUCUGGAAGAUUUAUCUAUUGAAUCAUGUUUUAUGGCUAUUGAAAAGGAUAAAUGGAUUUGGCACAAAAGGACUGAUCACACAAGUUUAAGCACUAUUUCUAAAUUAUCAAAAUUAGAAUUUGUGAAACGUCUUCCAAAAAUUAAUUUUGAGAAAGAUAAAAUAUGCGAAACUUGUACCUAAGGAAAACAAGUUAAAAGCAGUUUUAAAUAAAAAAAAAAAUAUUGAGGAGGUCUUCACCAUCCUCUGUACGUGGUAGAGGAUCUUUUUCAAAGGCAUCAUGAGUUGAGGGAAUUUUGUUGAGUAGUGGAGAUUAAGGAAGAGUGGGUCAGCCGAGUCAACCAAAGGAGUGGGAGUGCGAGCAGUAAGGUUUGCUUUUUUUUUUUUUUAUCCCUUUUGUGUGUGCUAUUGAACUAGUAUUAAUGUGCUUAUUCACAAGGGCUUUUUUUAACCUUUCAUAUAAUUUUAUUUGGUGUUGAGGAUUUACUGAAAUUCAAUGGAUCCAUCUUUGUGUUACUGGGUAUGGCAGAUAUAUUUAUGGCCAAUAAUUGUUUUCUA